UACGUAGGGGGCGAGCGUUGUCCGGAAUUAUUGGGCGUAAAGAGCGUGUAGGCGGUUCGGUAAGUCUGCCGUGAAAACCCAGGGCUCAACCCUGGGCGUGCGGUGGAUACUGCCGGGCUAGAGGGUGGUAGAGGCGAGUGGAAUUCCCGGUGUAGCGGUGAAAUGCGCAGAUAUCGGGAGGAACACCAGUAGCGAAGGCGGCUCGCUGGGCCACACCUGACGCUGAGACGCGAAAGCGUGGGGAGCAAACAGG
rnacentral:rRNA from 1 species